UGAACGCUAGCUACAGGCUUAACACAUGCAAGUCGAGGGGCAUCAGGAAGAAAGCUUGCUUUCUUUGCUGGCGACCGGCGCACGGGUGAGUAACACGUAUCCAACCUGCCCUUUACUCGGGGAUAGCCUUUCGAAAGAAAGAUUAAUACCCGAUAGCAUAAUGAUUCCGCAUGGUUUCAUUAUUAAAGGAUUCCGGUAAAGGAUGGGGAUGCGUUCCAUUAGGUUGUUGGUGAGGUAACGGCUCACCAAGCCUUCGAUGGAUAGGGGUUCUGAGAGGAGGGUCCCCCACAUUGGAACUGAGACACGGUCCAAACUCCUACGGGAGGCAGCAGUGAGGAAUAUUGGUCAAUGGGCGGUAGCCUGAACCAGCCAAGUAGCGUGAAGGAUGAAGGCUCUAUGGGUCGUAAACUUCUUUUAUAUAAGAAUAAAGUGCAGUAUGUAUACUGUUUUGUAUGUAUUAUAUGAAUAAGGAUCGGCUAACUCCGUGCCAGCAGCCGCGGUAAUACGGAGGAUCCGAGCGUUAUCCGGAUUUAUUGGGUUUAAAGGGAGCGUAGGUGGACUGGUAAGUCAGUUGUGAAAGUUUGCGGCUCAACCGUAAAAUUGCAGUUGAUACUGUCAGUCUUGAGUACAGUAGAGGUGGGCGGAAUUCGUGGUGUAGCGGUGAAAUGCUUAGAUAUCACGAAGAACUCCGAUUGCGAAGGCAGCUCACUGGACUGCAACUGACACUGAUGCUCGAAAGUGUGGGUAUCAAACAGGAUUAGAUACCCUGGUAGUCCACACAGUAAACGAUGAAUACUCGCUGUUUGCGAUAUACAGUAAGCGGCCAAGCGAAAGCAUUAAGUAUUCCACCUGGGGAGUACGCCGGCAACGGUGAAACUCAAAGGAAUUGACGGGGGCCCGCACAAGCGGAGGAACAUGUGGUUUAAUUCGACGAUACGCGAGGAACCUUACCCGGGCUUAAAUUGCAGUGGAAUGAUGUGGAAACAUGUCAGUGAGCAAUCACCGCUGUGAAGGUGCUGCAUGGUUGUCGUCAGCUCGUGCCGUGAGGUGUCGGCUUAAGUGCCAUAACGAGCGCAACCCUUAUCUUUAGUUACUAACAGGUCAUGCUGAGGACUCUAGAGAGACUGCCGUCGUAAGAUGUGAGGAAGGUGGGGAUGACGUCAAAUCAGCACGGCCCUUACGUCCGGGGCUACACACGUGUUACAAUGGGGGGUACAGAAGGCAGCUAGCGGGUGACCGUAUGCUAAUCCCAAAAGCCUCUCUCAGUUCGGAUCGAAGUCUGCAACCCGACUUCGUGAAGCUGGAUUCGCUAGUAAUCGCGCAUCAGCCACGGCGCGGUGAAUACGUUCCCGGGCCUUGUACACACCGCCCGCCAAGCCAUGGGAGCCGGGGGUACCUGAAGUGCGUAACCGCAAGGAUCGUCCUAGGGUAAAACUGGUG
rnacentral:rRNA from 1 species